rnacentral:rRNA from 1 species
UACGUAGGGUGCAAGCGUUGUCCGGAAUUAUUGGGCGUAAAGAGCUCGUAGGCGGUCUGUCGCGUCGGCUGUGAAAACCCGAGGCUCAACCUCGGGCCUGCAGUCGAUACGGGCAAACUAGAGUACUGCAGGGGAGACUGGAAUUCCUGGUGUAGCGGUGAAAUGCGCAGAUAUCAGGAGGAACACCGGUGGCGAAGGCGGCAUCCUGGACCAACACUGACGCUGAGUGAGCGAAAGCCAGGGGAGCAAACGGG